CUGCUGCCCCAGGUUCCCUGGAGGCUUGCCCUCCGGUCAUGCUGCUCCUGAGAGGCGGGCACUGUGCAUUCAGUGUUCGGGGACUGCAGCAGUGACAGCGAGAAAUGGGAGCAGAUACCUGCUCUAGCAUGUGGCAGCCCCAGUCCUGCUGUUGCCGCUGCCGAGUCCCCUAGACAGCCCCCCACCUGCCUCCCAGGAGAAGGCUGACAGGGAGAAGUGCUUUGCAAGCUGAGGAACUGCAUCUGCCUCCAGCCCCGCCUGCCCAGGCCCCUGAGCCUGGGACAGCUGACUGCGUGCCCAUACAUGCUCAGGAUCCUUGCCUGGUGGCUGUCACCAUGGUGAUUGGAGCCUGGAUUGCCCCGCCCGCGAGGGGAACCACAGCCCAAGCUCGCCCUCUGUGGUCUAGCAGAGGCGGGGCAGGUAUGCAAGCCUGGACGUCUGAGCUCGCCCAGAGCAGUGGAAGCUGGGUGAGAGCCCGGUUCUCCUGGACCAGCUACCCAAGGAGGGACACGGCCUGGGGUCUGGGCCGCCACUCUCUGUCGCCUCUUCUGCCUUCACCAGUCAGAAGGAACCCUACUUCAGGAUGACACCUGCACCCCAAUGUUC